CUGGACUCUACAACCUAUACUCUACAACAAAUACCCGGGUAUUCUACAAACACAACCUCCAGCAAUGUAUCUAAGGAAUGUAAACUUCUACAGGCCUUUAAAGACUUUGGAUUACAAAUACAAUUACUACUUUUAACUUUGGAUUACAAUUCGUAUCCUGAUCCAUCCAAGAAUAUCUUACUCUGGAACUUGGUGUUCUUUUCAAUUCUUUCCCAGACAAAAGCUUUGCUCAUUUUAAUCAACCACCUUUACAUGCAAAUAUCACACUACGGAUAUUUUACUGUUACAACAAUGAUCAAAGAUGCUGGGAGCACAAAAAAAACCUAAAGACAGUUGGAGAACUUUGGUUCACUAAUUUAAGGAAGAAAUGGUCUACAAUGCCCACAGUUUAAUGGAGAGGGUGUUAUGGGCAAAUACAAAUAUUACAAGUUUUAGAAUGAAAUGUUGUAGUUCUUAAACUGUGUACUUUGUCUUUAAGAGAUAUUGCAAACUGACAAGGUGUUAGAAAUGGAACAUAUUGUUUUUCAUAACGGUUUCUUUAAGCAAUAACCUCAGUGCAUAAUAUGUUUGCGCCAUUUUGUCCCAGACGAAUUACAAUAACAAUAAUGCAUAAACAAGCUUCAAGGCUAUGCUACGACUCUUUCAGUACACAAUAUACUGUGGUAACCCCAAGUUAAUGGAACUUCCCCAAAUCCUGGAAUCUCCCACGACUGUACACUUACGACUUAGUAUAAACAACAGAUAACCCAUUCAGACUUUAAGAUGCCAUCUUGAACUAAGUCAGGAAAAUUUCCAUGACGUAUACACCCUUUAGUUAUGGCCUUGUAUGUUUGCCAAAUUAAGGGAGGACCUAAAUUGAAUAAAGUAAAAGAAGUGUUACUUUUUCAUAUUUGAACUACAGUAACCUAAAAUGGAGACACCUAAGGUAUAAAUAGGUGUACUUUUAAAUGUUAAGACACAGAGGAGAGACAGACGCUGCUCCAUCUUAAAAUGACAGAGAGGCUGAC